rnacentral:rRNA from 1 species
CCCUACUAUGCUUGGCAGAAACAAGGUUAAAACAAACUUUUUGCCCGCCAGAUUAUUACAAGUAAAGACUCAAAACUCAAAGGACUUGACGGUGUCCCACAUACAACCUAGAGGAGCCUGUCCUAUAAUCGAUGAUCCACGAAGGACCUAACCACUUUUUGCCCAACAGCCUAUAUACCGCCGUCGAAAGUCCACCCUAUGAAGGAAGCGAAGUGAACAAAAUAGCCCAGCACUAAUACGUCAGGUCAAGGUGUAGUUAAUAAAGUGGUCAGAGAUGGGCUACAUUUCUUUUUAAAGGAAAGACGAAUGAUUAAAUGAAACCUUAAUCAGAAGGAGGAUUUAGUAGUAAAACAGGAUCAGCACGCCUGCUUGAACACACUGCCCUGGGACGCGUACACACCGCCCGUCACCCCUAUCACACACCCAAAAACAUAAAUAAAGCCACAGGAUAAGAAAGAUUGGGUAAG